rnacentral:rRNA from 1 species
GGCUUGCUUAAAGGGGCCGUAGCUUGAUAUGCAAGUCCCUUGAGAAAUCCGCCAGCUUAACUGGCGGGCGUUCAGGGGAAACUGCAUUUCUAGGGACCGGGAGAGGUGAGAGGUACUGCCGGGGUAGGAGUGAAAUCCUGUAAUCCCGGUGGGACCACCUAUGGCGAAGGCAUCUCACCAGAACGGGUCCGACAGUGAGGGACGAAAGCUGGGGGAGCAAACCGGAUUAGAUACCCGGGUAGUCCCAGCUGUAAACGAUGCGCGUUAGGUGUGUCAGUGACCACGUGUCACUGAGGUGCCGAAGGGAAACCGUGAAACGCGCCGCCUGGGGAGUACGGUCGCAAGGUUGAAACUUAAAGGAAUUGGCGGGGGAGCACCACAACGGGUGGAGCCUGCGGUUUAAUCGGACUCAACGCCGGAAAUCUCACCGGAUAAGACAGCUGAAUGAUAGUCGGGAUGAAGACUCUACUUGACUAGCUGAGAGGAGGUGCAUGGCCGUCGUCAGUUCGUACUGUGAAGCAUCCUGUUUAGUCAGGCAACGAGCGAGACCCACGCCAACAGUUGCCAGCUUGACCUUCGGGUUGAUGGGGACACUGUUGGGACCGCCUCUGCUAAAGGGGAGGAAGGAAUGGGCAACGGUAGGUCCGCAUGCCCCUAAAAGC